rnacentral:rRNA from 1 species
UACGUAGGUGGCAAGCGUUGUCCGGAUUUACUGGGCGUAAAGAGCGCGCAGGCGGUCGUUCAAGUCGCGUGUGAAAGCCCCCGGCUCAACUGGGGAGGGUCACGCGAUACUGUCCGACUCGAAGGCAGGAGAGGGAAGCGGAAUUCCCGGUGUAGUGGUGAAAUGCGUAGAUAUCGGGAGGAACACCAGUGGCGAAGGCGGCUUUCUGGCCUGUUCUUGACGCUGAGACGCGAAAGCGUGGGGAGCGAACAGG